AGAGUUUGAUCAUGGCUCAGGAUGAACGCUGGCGGCGUGCCUAAUACAUGUAAGUCGAACGGAAGAUGUAGCAAUAUGUCUUUAGUGGCGAACGGGUGAGUAACGCGUUGGUGACCUGCCCCGAAGAGAGGGAUAACAGACCGAAAGGUUUGCUAAUACCGCGUAAUUUCCUUCUAGUUAGAGAGGAGGGAAGAAAGGCCGAAAGGCGCUUUGGGAGGGGCCUGCGUCCCAUCAGCUAGUUGGCGAGGUAAAAGCUCACCAAGGCGAUGACGGGUAGGGGACCUGAGAGGGUGACCCCCCACAAUGGAACUGAGACACGGUCCAUACACCUACGGGUGGCAGCAGUAGGGAAUAUUGGUUAAUGGGCGAAAGCCCGACCCAGCAACGCCGCGUGCACGAAGAAGGCCUUCGGGUUGUAAAGUGCUUUUUAGUGGGAUGAGGAAGGACAGUACCACUAGAAUAAGUCUCGGCUAACUACGUGCCAGCAGCCGCGGUAACACGUAGGAGACGAGCGUUAUCCGGAUUUACUGGGUGUAAAGCGCGUGCAGGCGGUCGGGUAAGUUGGAUGUGAAAGCUCCUGGCUUAACUGGGAGAGGUCGUUCAAAACUGCCGGGCUAGAGUGCAACAGAGGGGAGUGGAAUUCCGAGUGUAGCGGUAAAAUGCAUAGAUAUUCGGAAGAACACCAGUGGCGAAGGCGGCUCUCUGGGUUGCAACUGACGCUCAGACGCGAAAGCUAGGGUAGCGAACGGGAUUAGAGACCCCGGUAGUCCUAGCCGUAAACGAUGUGGACUUGGCGUGGGUGGGUUGAAAUCCAUCUGUGCCGAAGCAAACGCGAUAAGUCCACCACCUGGGGACUACGGCCGCAAGGUUAAAACUCAAAGGAAUUG
rnacentral:rRNA from 1 species